UACGUAGGGUGCGAGCGUUGUCCGGAAUUAUUGGGCGUAAAGAGCUCGUAGGCGGUGUGUCACGUCGGCCGUGAAAACCUGGGGCUUAACUCUGGGCGUGCGGUCGAUACGGGCAUCACUAGAGUUCGGCAGGGGAGACUGGAAUUCCUGGUGUAGCGGUGAAAUGCGCAGAUAUCUGGAGGAAUACCGGUGGCGAAGGCGGCAUCCUGGACCGACAUUGACGCUGAGGAGCGAAAGCUAGGGGAGCAAACGGG
rnacentral:rRNA from 1 species